rnacentral:rRNA from 1 species
AAUUCGCCCUUAGAGUUAGGUCCUGGCUCAAGAAGAACGCUGGCGGCGAGCUUAACACAUGCAAGUCGAACGAAGCACUUUAACGGAACUUUUUCGGAAGUAGAAGAUAUUGUGACUGAGUGGCGGACAGGUGAGUAACGCGAGGGUAACCUGCCUCAUACAGGGGGAUAACAGCUGGAAACGGCUGCUAAUACCGCAUAAGCGCACAGUACCGCAUGGUACGGUGAGAAAAACUCCGGAGGUAUGGGAUGGACCCGCGUCUGAUUAGCUUAGUAGGUGAAGUAACAGCCCACCCAAGGGGACAAUCAGUAGCCGACCUGAGAGGGAGACCCGACCCCAUUGGGACUGAGACACGGCCCAGACUCCUACGGGAGGCAGCAGUGGGGAAUAUUGCACAAUGGGGGAAACCCUGAUGCAGCGACGCCGCGUGGAGGAAGAAGGUCUUCGGAUUGUAAACUCCUGUUGUUGAGGAAGAUAAUGACGGUACUCAACAAGGAAGUGACGGCUAACUACGUGCCAGCAGCCGCGGUAAAACGUAGGUCACAAGCGUUGUCCGGAAUUACUGGGUGUAAAGGGAGCGCAGGCGGGAAGACAAGUUGGAAGUGAAAUCCAUGGGCUCAACCCAUGAACUGCUUUCAAAACUGUUUUUCUUGAGUAGUGCAGAGGUAGGCGGAAUUCCCGGUGUAGCGGUGGAAUGCGUAGAUAUCGGGAGGAACACCAGUGGCGAAGGCGGCCUACUGGGCACCAACUGACGCUGAGGCUCGAAAGUGUGGGUAGCAAACAAGAUUAGAUACCCUGGUAGUCCACACCGUAAACGAUG